rnacentral:rRNA from 1 species
CCCUAGUAACUGCGAGUGAAGCGGGAAAAGCUCAAAUUUAAAAUCUGGCGGUUCUUGCAGUCGUCCGAGUUGUAAUUUAGAGAAGUGCUAUCCGCGCUGGACCGUAUACAAGUCUCCUGGAAUGGAGCGUCAUAGAGGGUGAGAAUCCCGUCUUUGAUACGGACUGCCAGGGCUUUGUGAUGCGCUCUCGAAGAGUCGAGUUGUUUGGGAAUGCAGCUCAAAAUGGGUGGUAAAUUCCAUCUAAAGCUAAAUAUUGGCGAGAGACCGAUAGCGAACAAGUACCGUGAGGGAAAGAUGAAAAGAACUUUGGAAAGAGAGUUAAACAGUACGUGAAAUUGUUAAAAGGGAAACGCUUGAAGUCAGUCGCGUUGGCUGGGGAUCAUCCUUGCUUUUGCUUGGUGUACUUCCUAGUUGAUGGGUCAACAUCAGUUUUGAUUGUUGGAUAAAGUUCAGAGGAAUGUGGCAUCUUUAGAUGUGUUAUAGCCUUUGUUCGUAUACAGCAGUUGGGAUUGAGGAACUCAGCACGCCGCAAGCCCGGGUAUUUAUACCACGUACGUGCUUAGGAUGUUGGCAUAAUGGCUUUAAUCGACCCGUCUUGAAACACGGACCAAGGAGUCUAACAUGCCUGCGAGUGUUUGGGGUGGAAAACCCGAGCGCGUAAUGAAAGUGAAAGUUGAGAUUUUCUGUCAUGGAAAGCAUCGACGC